rnacentral:rRNA from 1 species
CUACGUGCCAGCAGCCGCGGUAAUACGGAGGGUGCGAGCGUUAAUCGGAAUAACUGGGCGUAAAGGGCACGCAGGCGGUGACUUAAGUGAGGUGUGAAAGCCCCGGGCUUAACCUGGGAAUUGCAUUUCAUACUGGGUCGCUAGAGUACUUUAGGGAGGGGUAGAAUUCCACGUGUAGCGGUGAAAUGCGUAGAGAUGUGGAGGAAUACCGAAGGCGAAGGCAGCCCCUUGGGAAUGUACUGACGCUCAUGUGCGAAAGCGUGGGGAGCAAACAGGAUUAGAUACCCUGGUAGUCCACGCUGUAAACGAUGUCGAUUUGGGGGUUGAACUUUAGGUUUGGCGCCCGUAGCUAACGUGAUAAAUCGACCGCCUGGGGAGUACGGCCGCAAGGUUAAAACUCAAAUGAAUUGACGGGGGCCCGCACAAGCGGUGGAGCAUGUGGUUUAAUUCGAUGCAACGCGAAGAACCUUACCUACUCUU